AGAUUUAAAAAGCCCUUCAGUCGCCAUCAUGAUUAUCUAUCAGGACCUUAUCAGCCACGAUGAUAUGUUCUCCGACAUCUACAAGAUCCGGGAGAUCGCAGACGGGCUGUGCCUGGAGGUGGAGGGGAAGAUGGUCAGUAGCACAGAAGGUAACAUUGAUGACUCGCUCAUUGGUGGAAAUGCCUCCGCUGAAGGCCCCGAGGGCGAAGGUACCGUAAGCACAGUAAUCACUGGUGUCGAUAUUGUCAUGAACCAUCACCUGCAGGAAACAAGUUUCACAAAAGAAGCCUACAAGAAGUACAUCAAAGAUUACAUGAAAUCAAUCAAAGGGAAACUUGAAGAACAGAGACCAGAAAGAGUUAAAACCUUUAUGACAGGGACUGCAGAACAAAUCAAGCACAUCCUUGCUAAUUUCAAAAACUACCAGUUCUUUAUUGAUGAAAACAUGAAUCCAGAUGGCAUGGUUGCUCUAUUGGACUACCGUGAGGAUGGUGUGACCCUAUAUAUGAUUUUCUUUAAGGAUGGUUUAGAAACAGAAAAAUGUUAACAAAUUUGGCAGUUAUUUUGGAUCUAUCACCUGUCAUCAUAACUGGCUUCUGCUUGUCAUCCAUACAACACCAGGACUUAAGACAAAUGGGACUGAUGUCAUCUUGAGCUCUUCAUUUAUUUUGACGGUGAUUUAUUUGAAGUAGAGGCAUUGUUUUUAAGAAAAACAUGUCAUGUAGGUUGUCUAAAAAUAAAAUGCAUUUAAACUCAUUUGAGAGAAUGCCUUUUAGUUUAAUGCAUAUUUAGACUAUCAUCCUGUAGUGUUCCUGGAGAAGCUAAAGCCUGGUUGUAGGCUACUACUCAUCAAUUAACUUCUACAGUGGAGACUACUUCUGGGACUGGAAUAUAAAAAAGAAUCAAAGGUUUUGAUUUUGAGUUGCAAUAAAGGGAAAGACCAUGCUCAUAGCAGUGCCAACAUCUGAAGUGUGGAGCCUUACCCAUUUCAUCACCUACAACGGAAGUAGUUAACUGGAAGAGAUUACCAAGAGAAUAAAAAGAGAAUCAUUCAGUGGAA